GUUCCAUGAAGCACGUGACCGCGCGGCGAUGCCGGAGGGAUCAAAGCUUGUUGCAACUCUUUUUCAAUGACUCUGGUUUUAACUGAAGCGCUACAUUUUACGAUUUACGCCACCUUAAAUGCGCCCAAAUUGUAAUUAUUGUUUAAAUUUCGUAUUAAAUCUAACACAAUUCUAAAGCUGAGAAUGCUUGAUAUCGCAAGCAGUAUUGUCAAUUCGGUGGGAUUUACAUGGUCAGCGUGGAGAACGUGAGACAUAUCCUGGAAGCGUGUGUCUCACGCCAAAUGCGUGAGAGUUGACAAUCCUGCCUUUUGUUGUUUUGUAAUAUGAAACGCAUCACAUUCUUUGUCCCCUUGGGUUGUGGCCUUAACUCGUUCUUUUGACUCACACUGUCAGGGGGACAGAUCAUUGAUCCUAACACACUGAUGGAAUCAGCCUUUCCUCCAGCCAGACCUUCAGUUAAUAAUCUCAAUUCAGCCUGUCUUUAUGGAAAUGGUCGUCCCAGAUAUCCUGCCUACUGUUUCCCUCCAUCAGGUUACGCUUACGCUCAACGCGCUGGAAAAGCAAUAAACAGAAUAGAGUCGUGGUUGGGUCAGUGCUGUUAUGGAGGUUUGACCACUGGAAAUGGACAGACCCUUUGCUGUGCGAAACAGGCGUGGGAAACUGCCUUGUCCUAUUUCUGUAUUGAGGAAUAUUCCACUAUGACUUUAGUCCAUGAGUGCUGUGAGAAGAAAGGAGAAGAACGAUGGAACUGCUUUGAAACACGAGCUCCUAACCCUUCCUACCAACCCCUGUGUGGGUACAUUGCUCCCAUGAUACCACCUGACAUGAAUUUCAACUGGGACCCCAAAACCUGCUAAAGGUCUUACUGCCAGAUGUCUUUAUUUAAUUUAGCAACACACAACCUGAUUAAAGUCUGUUAAUCUACUGUGAAUCACAAGAGUCUGAUGUAUCAUUCUUUUCAUGUAAUUUAAUUGUGCUCAUUCUUCUAGAAUAACUGUGUGUCAAUACUUUUAUUUUCACAUGUAUUAUUUUACAAUACUCAUCACAGUUGAAGUUCAAGACAAAGUGCACUGAGUGAAGUCAGUUUAUUUUCAAUAUGGCAAAAGGAUUGAAAGGAUUGUUUGACAUUUGAUUUUUCCUUCGAGAAAAUAAUGGUUGCUUCUAAGUUAUAUAAGAUAUUUCAUGUCACAUUGUUUGCAUGACAGAUGUAUUUGUGGAAAGAUUUUAUGAAUAAAUCACAGAUCAUAAAUACAGCUGA